GGAUUGGUGGGUCAGUGGUAGAACGCUGGCCUCCCAUGCCCGAGACCCGGGUUUGAUUCCUGGCCAAUGCA
rnacentral:tRNA from 1 species